AGGCAUAUUACAGUAAUCACAAUUGAUACACACAUUGGAGAUAGAGAGGAAGACUUUUACAAAAUACACUUUACAUUCUAGAACUCAAGUCUUACAACAUAAAAGGGAAUGAAAUUAUUACAAGUCCUGAUAGUCUUUAGAGUGCAUAACUUAACUACAAUACUUGGAAAGGUGAAGCCUUUCCAUAAAAGAUUCACAUAAGUAAUCUAAGCUUCAAGACCUCCAUAAGGAGCAACUAAUAAAGCCAAGGCAUCAAAAAUCUUUCCUACAACAACAUAGGGAAUAAAACCCUAAGUAGGCAAUUACUCAGCAAGACUUACCCGACUAAGAAAAAGACUCUCAAGGGCAUGCUAGCUUUUGGGGAAUCAAGGGAAAAGCUCAUCAAUUAUCAAUGACUCCUUUUUGCAUAAAAGCUUACUAAUAAUGGAUCCUUAAGCCAAGUUUUAUUUCACAAGUUAGGUUAUUACCUGAAUCUACUAACCUGUCUCUAGAUUCUCCUAAUCUAGAUCAUUCACUUGGCCUACACUAGAUUGCUUUUAACCAAAACUCUGUUAUACUUGUUAUCUACGAUGCAGAGCAGUGAUCCAGUCUUCAUGACCGAGAAGUAACGGCGAUUCGAAUCGAUUAAUACCCAGCUGGGGAUCUCCAGCCACACGACAUAUGUAGCACUUAACCCUUGCAUAUGUCUACCAUUCCCACGGGUCCUCCACUACGUGAACCGGUCCGCGCCACCCGAGAGUACGGUACUCCACCAUCCAGCCACAUGCCAGGUGGGUACACGCCACUCCCGCCGUCUCUCCACUCCCAGUGCGCGAUUGUCUUUUCACAUAUGGAGUAGCCGGGUUCAGGCUUUCCCAUGACGAGGUAUGUGGCCAGUUAAAAGGUCCUAGAUCAACAGGCCUACAAUCGGUACGGUCCUUGAUCGACACAGACGGGCGACCUGUCCAGCUCAACGUCUGGUCUUAUUUUUAAACAAAUUCUCAAAGUUUGAUACCUGGCAGAGGUACCCUGCUUGAAUGAUGAAUUCAUCCCCGCGGAGGAUGCCUCCAUCAUCCCAAGCCCUUUUUCUUUUUAAAAAUCAUGAGUCAUAGAUCAAAAACAUUUUUCUUAAUCUAUAAGCAUAACUAAGCAUUACUAGUUUUUAUAAAACAGGUAACAAGGUAUGAUAAUCAAUCUUUCAAGGAUGGUAAUGCAUCAAGUGUUUAAUCAUUCAACUCCUAUUACCUAAUGCAGCAUAUAAGUGAUAAAAUUUUGUAAUACAAGGAAGGUGGCAAAUGCACCGGGGCUUGCCUUAUUGCAGGAGAAGAUCUAAAACCCUUCUACUCCGAUAAGCAGUUAGAUGGAGUCCAUCACUGGAUCAACAGCACUGGAGCAGGUUCCUCCUUUACAAAGAUCAAUUCUUCUUCUUGGUGUUCUACAUGAAUGUUAUGAAUAUGAAUGCUUGCGUAUGUUAGGAAUAUGUAACUUGCAAAGGAGACAACACAGAUUACUCCUAGACCAAACCUACAAGCUAUAGGUAUCAGGGAGCUAAGCACUCUUAGAACUCAUCUAACUAUCCAAAACUUGCUAACAACUUCCUUCUUUACUAAGACAUCAGGCGCUUUAACUACCGAGGGGUAAAACUCUCUCCCUAUAUUGAGCAAUAGCUAAUUCGCUAAGCAAAUCUUGACCAAACAGCUCUAAAUUUUACCCAAGGGUUCAUGCUCAACAUAAGCUUACACAAAUUUUCAUACAAUUUUUUAGUGCUCUAUUUUUAAACACUCCUAGCACACAAUCUAAAUCCUUUCUUCUCCAAUCAUCACGCAUAAACACUGGAUAAGGACGAUGGCGCAUAAACACUGGAUAUCACCUAAGAACCAAUUCUUUUGGACUUUCUCUUAAAUUUACACAUAUAUACGAACCAUACCUGCUCUAACACGCGACAAGCCGAUGAAGCGAGAGGAACCCGUAAGGCCGCACGGAGAAAACACGCCGAGCACGACGGCUUGUCGGGUGUGAGGAGCGCGAGUGCGACGAGGUCGGAGCAGAGGCUACGGGUUGUCCAAGACGACGACGCGAAGGAGCUGUGGGUCAAGCGCGGCCGGCGAGAAAACGACGAUGAUGUCACGGCGCGCCAAGAGCUCAGCGACGACGAGAGCACCGGUGCUGCUGCGAUGAGGUAGAGGGAUACGACGCUGAAACAGCAGGACGACGACGAGGUGGAGCUCGGACAGCUGGAGAAAGGUGUUGAAGUACGCAGGACCGGACAGGCUGAGAGCGAGCGAUUGGGGAAGAACUACAGAGAAGCUCGCUGGAGCACAGCUUGGAAACGAGCAAGUACAGGGUGGAUGCCGGGGCUAAGAAACAUGGAGAGCGAACGCUGGGGCAGGUGACGGCUGGGGGUUUUCCUGGGGGAGUUAAACGUGGUGAAGCCGUGCAGCAGUUCGAGUUGCAGGUGACGUGAGGAAUUCUCCAACCAGGAACAUCUAUCUCUAUUCAUAUGAGAGAAAAGAAAUAGAAUAUGGUAGCUUCUAGCUGUUGGGAUAAGAAAAAGAGUAGGCGGUGGAGAGUAUUCCAGAGAUAUGGACGUGUGCGAGAAAGAGGAGGAUAGCUGGAGAAUUCCCAACCAACCUUAUCUUCAAAAAAAACAUCUUCAAUUUUGGUUACAGAAUUCUGGUAGAUAUCCAGGAAAUGAGCUAAAACAUCCCCAACAGCUCUCCAACUGAAUUAAGCAAACUAAAUUAAAAUUUCAGCCACCCGAACUGAACUCGCAGCUCAACUGAACCCCCAUCCUCGUUCCAUUUUCAUCACAUGAUCCCAAAUGGUAACAGGUUCCAACAGGGAACCAAC
rnacentral:lncRNA from 1 species